rnacentral:tRNA from 1 species
GUCGAGCCGUACCAGGCGAUGCUCGGCGGUACCGUCGCCGCCGGGCUGCGGCUCGCCUGGGUGGCGGUGCGGUCCCGCCGGUUCGACG